rnacentral:sRNA from 1 species
CACGUCAAAGUGUUCACAUACUAGCAUCAAAGGUUGAAAGGAAUGCACAACAAAGGGUUCAUGGCUUGAAAAAAACCAACUAUAUGUACAAGUUUUCCUGAUAGAAAUCAAGCAUUUUAAGGAGCAGAAUCCGAUACAGAACUUCUCUUGGUAAAAACUAGGAUAAUUUACAUGGAAAUAUCAAAGAAACCAAGAACAUUAGUUGUGUGUGUGUAUAUAUAUAUAUAUAUAUAUAUAUAUAUAUAUAUAUAUUAAGAUUUAAGAGCAGCACAACUGAGCCUACAUUCUCAUUGACAAAGUAAAGCAAGCACAAUAACAGUAAUAAUAAUACCUCUCACCAUCACCAUAUCACCACCUUAACCUUAACAAACUAUUUGCUCUGAAGAAAAUGAAACUACUUGCUCUGAAACACAGGCUAAGCCUUGGAGCAAUCUCACUAUUUCAGUUGUGUCAUCCAGAUAGUACUUAGCCUUACUCGGUUUUCGGCAUACGGUGCAGGCGAAAACUUCAGCCCGUGGGGCGAUCGGCCCGCCCAUCGAGCUGGUGAUCACCUCAAACAUGUCUUCAUCAGACCUGUCAUCUCCUAUGCACAGAACAAAAUCAGGGUACAUUCCCUUUUCUUGCAUGGCAGAAAGUAGGCGUUUGGCCACUAGUCCCUUGCUCACACCCUGCAUCACCACAUGUACUUAUUAUGGCUACAAGUAAAACAAUAAAAUGAAUACCAUACAAUACACUUGGAAUUCCACUAAAACAGAACCACUAUGUUUCCUUUUAUGUUACUUAACAAAAACAGGUCAAAGAAAUUUAGUACACUAACUAGUAUCUGAUGUUGUAUGGAAAAAAUAAAAUGCAAUUUAAAAGAGACCAACAAUGUCUUCUAAAAUGUACCUAAUAAAUAAUUAAGGACAGAAGAGAGUAUUAAUUAAACCAAACUUGAUUUUUGUUCAUCAAUCCUACUGUACCUUUACGAUCACUUCAACUACCAUAAUGGUUUUUCAAAUGCCUUGAUGAAAGAUAAGUUAGCUAACUUGCAGAACAGGUUUUCAUAUGGAAUUAAUUGAUGCAAAAAUACAAGUGAUGAAGCUGCCAUUGAUAUCAAUAUCAUUCCUAGAGAAUAUUGGUGUACACACCUGUGGUUUAACCUCUACAUUAUUCUGGCCACUCUUGACUGUUACAGGUUCAUUUGCAAGCACACUCUCAAGGUGAUCAAGAAGUUCCUUAGCUUGGCAUGAUCCAAAGUCUGGAUCUGCAUCCUCAUAGCACCAUACAAGUGCAGUCUCCUUGUCUUCAAUGGUGGAUCCAUCAGUUGUUUCAGUAUAAAGUUUCAUAACAGGUUCUGCAAUCUGUUUCCAACUACAAUCUGUUGCCGCAACAUGUGUUUCCCACUCUUCAUCUCGCCUCAUUCUGAAACCAUACAUGAUAUAGAAAGCGAUGUUACUAUUAACUAUACCUAAAGAAAGCACCAAUGUUCAAGAGAGGCAACAAGAAUAAUUGAGUUACCUAAGAAAGUAACCGUGCUCAGCUGCAACUCCCAGAUUCUCACAAGAAGAAAACCAUUCUGAAAGCAUCUUUCGGCUUCUAGCACUAACAAGGAAAACCAUGUUGUUCUUAUCUCUACACAAACUACUAAGGAUUUCAAUGGAUUUACUGCUUGGACUCUUAUCAAUUGUUGAUGAUUGAGGCAUCAGUGUACCAUCAUAGUCAAGAAGGAUUGCUCUAGUUGUUGUCCUCUUGUAUGCUGAAACUAUAGAGAACAAAAGGAAUGGAAUAGAUUCAGAUCACAUAAACAGCUACAACAAGAAACAGCAACCAAACAACCCCCCAGAGAUUGAUGUCAUAAAUGGACUGAACUUGGAAGUCAGAACCAGAUGGCCUAAAGGACCAAAGGAGCAAAGGAAAGAUAAAAACAAGGAACCCAAAUGGAAUUAACUAACAGUUCAAGAAAAUUACCAGUUUGGCUGAGUACUGAAUUCCAAUUUCACUUUCAUUCAGUGAAUGUAAAAAAAAUUUGAAUCCACAUCCAUAAUCCAUUCCAUUCAAGAAAAAAACCUUCUCCUUAUAGAAUAAAGGAAAAUGAAAAUAAAAAAUGAUAGUAGUAGAAAUAAUAAUAUAAAUUACUAAGAAAAUAAAGAGAAAAAAUCUUGAAUUAUCUUUUGGAAGAGCUUUCUCACUGAUCCACAAUGGCCACCCAACCCCAUGAUAUCUCUUUCCACUGAGCCUAGACAGCAUGCAACAGUGUGAUACUUUUGGAAGCUCACUUGUUUUCGUGGGUCAACC